rnacentral:rRNA from 1 species
AAGAGGUUGAUCGGCCACACUGGAACUGAGACACGGUCCAAACACCUACGGGUGGCAGCAGUAGGGAAUAUUGGGCAAGGGGCGCAAGCCUGACCCAGCCAUGCCGCGUGGAGGAUGAAGGCUUUUCGGGUCGUAAACUCUUUUUCUGAGGGAAGAAUAGCCUGUGCAGGAAAUGGUAUGGGUAUGACGGUACCUCAGGAAUAAGCAACGGCCAACUCCGUGCCAGCAGCCGCGGUAAUACGGAGGUUGCAAGCGUUGUUCGGAAUUACUGGGCGUAAAGGGAGCGCAGGCGGCCAAGUCAGUCUGAAGUGAAAUCCCGGGGCUUAACCUCGGAAGUGCUUUGGAUACUACUUGGCUAGAGUACGUGAGAGGUGAGCGGAAUUCCAGGUGUAGCGGUGAAAUGCGUAAAUAUCUGGAGGAACACCCGUGGCGAAAGCGGCUCACUGGCGCGUAACUGACGCUGAGGCUCGAAAGCGUGGGGAGCAAACGGGAUUAGAUACCCCGGUAGUCCACGCCAUAAACGAUGAGCUCUAGGUGUGGGAGGUAUCGACCCCUUCCGUGCCGCAGCUAACGCAUUAA